UAUAUAUGAGAAAAAGAAAUGCAAUGGUAAAAGUAAAAAAAAAAGGAAUAUAAAAAGCUGUUUUCAGGUUUAUAUAGUCAGAGAGAGAGAGAGAGAGAGAGAGAGAGAGAGAGAGAGACAGAGACAGAGACUUACUUUAAGGCAUAAGGGGCAGGACCACCUAACCCCAAUGCCCAGCCCCCUCACCCUCUGAAGAGACACUAAAGCACAUUUACUCUCUCUCUCACUCUGGCUCUCAGUGCCUAUGUCCAGACUGCUGCUUCAGACCUCACCGCCCCUUUCCAUUCAAACCAACUUUAAGCCAGACUUCUGAGUGUGUGAGCCAGCAUUUCAUCAACAGUCUGCUGUGCACUUUCAGGAGCCUCUUAAUUUGUUAAAGUUUCAGCUGGAGAAAAGUGACCAACAGUGACCAUGAUGAGGAUCAUACUACUGCUUCUGGUCACCCUGACGGGGCCUUUCUGUACCUUUACCCAAGCAAGCAUGUGCUGAUACAGUGUUUCUCUCAUGUGGACCCAGUGCUGGGAAAAUGAUGUAAUGGUGCAAUGAGUGUAAUUCCGGUUUUGAGUACUCUGGUGGUGCCAACAGCUAUUGGUUCAACUCCACAACCAAAUCUUGCAUCAGAUUCACCUACUUUCACAUACACAACAGAGGUAACAUCUCCUCAAGAUGCUGUUUCAACGUCAGAGCCUGCUCCUGAGGUUACAGAAGCAGCUGCCACGACAGAAGAAGUGCCAAUGGUUUCCACAACAGCAUCAGUGAUACAGUCAGGAACCCCAUUAGAAACAACAGCCCUAACAGAUACAACACAAUCAACAGAAGCUGUACCUAUAGAGACAACCAGCCCUGAAGCCACUACUGUCUUUGCAGAAGCAGAAAUGCCUGAGAAAGUUGAAGACAUAGAAUCAAAGACUGCAGAUGAAGAGGUGGAGGAUGAAGGUAUGGGCACAGGACAGUUGGUGGGGAUCGUAAUCGGUGCAUUGAUCACAGUGAUUGUUGUCAUUGCUGUAAUCAUCUUGUUGGUCAGAAGAAUGGGCCAAUACUCCCCCUGAAAAGAAAGGCACGACAGG
ensembl:lncRNA